GAACGCAAAUUGCACUCUCUGGUAUUCCGGGGAGUAUGCCUGUUUGAGGGUCAGUUAAAAUAAAAAUCGAUGUGUCGCUUUUGUGACGUUUCGGAAUUGGGUCACCUUGAUCUCUGGGUUGAGAGGCCUAAAAUUGAUACCUUUCCGAGCAUCUUGGACGUACGUAACCUUUCAAGUGCCGGAUCUUUUUACUAGGUAUGACCAUGCUGUACGUGGCCUCGUACCCAUAACGUGUAUUCAUAUUUUGACCUCAAAUCAGGUAGGAACACCCGCUGAACUUA
rnacentral:misc_RNA from 1 species